UGGUUGAUUGAAAUGCAAAUCAAUUCCAAAUCUGAGUUGGAAUUCCAAUCUCAUCUCUCGACCAAUCAGAGAGAAGCACUGCGCUGUGAUUGACGUGCAUGAGGUCUAGCUUUCCCACACAACACCGCUUCGCCCUGAAUGUUUUCGACGAAAAUAUAUUUAUAUAGUUCUGAGUGAAUAUUUUGACUGAAAAUCGCCUUUUAACACCGCAAUUUGGCAAGAGGAAGACAGCCCCGGUACGGAAUUUAUCCCAGAAGAUUCCCCUUGGCCUUAGGUAAGUGUUCAAAUGACAAAAACCCGAAGAUUUUUGGCGUAUACGUGAAAGGCUUUUGCGAGACGCUUGCUAUUUAUGUAUAAAUAGCUUAUGUUUAUUUGUCGUUUGUAGCCUUUCCUCGUCCGAAAUCUUUGAGUUACUCGCUAGUUUAGAGUGUAAUAAGCACAUCUGAAGUCCGCUGAAGUAAAAUAUAUAAGAUGUUUUAGAGUUAACGAUAUUUAAGCGAAGAAAUUUGUGGUAAUUUUAGUGUAACAUAUCCAAAUUUUUUCGUUUAAAUAUUUUUACGACGUCAGCCGAUAUCCGGCAAAUAAUCAUAUUUUCAAUUACAUAACGCGGCUUAUAUGAUAGUUUUAUAGCAUAGUUUCACAGUAGGGUAAACUUUAUUAUACUAUAAGCAUUAUACGACUUUUACUGAAGAUUUACAGGCAUUUUAUACACCGAGCAGAAUGUAUCCAAAGGGCCGAUAUCGUGUCAACUUGUGUCAAAUUUUUGGCUUCAUUCCGUUCGAUUAAAAUUAGAAUCUUUGGGCUCUUUGUUAGAAAACGUUCGCCGACACGGCAUGUAUACAUAAAAAUUCGUACAGAUUUCUCUUACAUUCCCACAAAGAUAAAGGUUUAAAUGAAAAAUAGAUGGAUUCUAUUUGGGUCAUGAUUUGUGUUUACAGUAUCACUACACAAGCGGCUUGACCCCAUUCAUCUUUUUUAGCUCUUUUAUAUUUGUGGGUUUUUCUGAUUAUCGGACCAUUUAUUCACUAAAAGCGAUGUUGAUUAUUAUAAACUGAUAAAUCAUUGCAUUUUCGGUAUCCUAACAUGCUAUUACUGGUCCAGCAGAGUUAUUGGGAAUGAUAUCAGACAUUACUGUCAAGUCAUAGGUUAAACGUGAAACAUUUCAAGUAAAUUAUAGAUUGGGCCUCAAUGCUGGGAUUUUGCCUUGCAUUUUGUAUUUAGAUGCUUUUGAAAUUUUGUUCAUAAUUGGGAGCUGGUCUGGUCCGGCUUGCCGAGGUCCAGGUUAAGGAAUGACAUCAGCCAGCCUGGUUACAAAUCCAGUCUGGUUACAAGUCCAGUCACAGAGUAUGCCUAAUUAUGUUGCCAGGCUAGCCCCUGUCAUGUUACACAAUUGACAAACUGAACCAACCCAGUUUGUCGGGCCAGACCAGUUUAUGCGAACAGCUUCUAAAACCUAGGUUGGGAAAGUCCUGCAUAGUCCGGAAAGUCGUGCAUAUCCUGUAAUUUCUUCAGUUGGUCUAUAACUAAGUUUCAAUAACACUGAGGUCUGUUUCAAAUGUAGCACUUCUCAUGUGCCGAACGCAUUAGAAACAAUAAAUAAUGAGGCAUUUCAGCUGAUUAUGUAUUGUUUUUAAUGUGUUCAGCACAUCAGAAGCGCGAUGUUUGAAAAUAGUUUCCAUAUUGAAUAGUUUCCACAUAUUGUCGAGACCAAGUUCUCCAGAUAAAAAGUGCCUUUCACCUAUGAGGGUGUGGGUUCAAUUCUCUCCUUGCCCACUUGUGUAAAAAGUGUCUGUAAAUUCUCUGCUGAAAGUCGUGGGUUUUUCCCCAGUUGCUCCAGUUUCCUGACACAGUUAAAGUGGAAGUCAAGUCCGUAAUGUAAACGAACGGUUUGUUUACAUUUUGAACUGCAGUAUUUUUUAAAAUAUGAUGUACUGUCUGAAUAUCUAACACCAUUUUGGUUUGCUAUGCUUCUAAAUGAAUGUGAAAUAGAGUUUAUGUUCAGAAAGAUUCAAAACAUUAGAAAAUUGGGCAAUGUUCACAUUAGAGGUCCUCACGUUGUUAGGACAAUGAAAAUUGAUAUCAUGUUUCUCGUCCACAAUUUUCAAAAGUUUGGAGCGGGAAUUUUUUCAUUUUUCAUUAUUUUUUGUAUUUGAAUUCUGCUUGUCAAUAAUUUCCUUGACCCAGUAAAAACCCCCAUAAAAAUCUGAAGUAAAUUGGUGUAUAAUCAUUUUAAUUUAAUACGUCCUACACUACAGUAUAUUUCUACACAUACCAGGGCUGACAUGAAAAAUAAGAGGCAUUCUGGCGAGUAGUAUCUUUAGAAAGAUACAAUUUGAGUUGCGUUUGCGGAAUGCAGCAAUAAGACUUUGAUCUGGAGAUCAAUUUGGUGUUUUGUUAAGCCUAUUUUUCAAAAAUAAUGCAUACUACCAUUUGCAAGCGACCGCAAAAUCCAAACUUUUUUCACGUUUGUUUACGUUUCAAACGUACACAAUGGGCGGGUCAAACGUGCAUGUUGAAACGUAACAACAAUUAGUUUGAACCGCAAAAUAGUGACGUUUGGGCGAGAUUUGUCAAACGUCACUAUUUCGCGGUUCAAACUAAUUGUUGUUACGUUUCAACAUGCACGUUUGACCCGCCCAUCGUGUAUGUUUGCAACGUAAACAAACGUGAAAAAAGUUUGGUUUUGCGGUUGCUUGCAAAUGGUAGUAAUGAAAAAUUUUCGUGCGGCAGAUAAAUCCCAUGCGGGCGGGGAUGAGAAACGGACUUGACUUCCACUUUAAGAAAGUAAUAUCACAAUUGUUGUAAAAGAUAAAAUAGUCCAGGCUAAGUAUGAAAUUAGGUAAGCGUAAUACUUGAUGUAAAGUGCAUAUAAGUCAUAUCCACAUAAAAAUUUGCACUAUAGAAAUUCUAAUCUAGUGUGAAGACUUAUCAAAGCAUUUUCUAAACCCAGGUGAAAGAUGUCAAACUACAUGCAGCAAGGCGGCCACAUGCAGCAAGGCGGCCACAUGCAAUAUGGUCAGCAAAUGAGCAAAGAAGGACAGAAUGCGAUGUGGUAUGGACAACAACAUGGCUACAAUGUUGACUCGGGUAUCAACAGCGAGCACAACACUGCCCCGCCUUCAAUGCAUGGGGAUGAAGAAAACCUGCUGUCGACACUUGACCAGGAGUUCAGCUCUCAUGGAAUAGCAGAUAUGAACGAACAGUUUACCACCUCCAGAAG